rnacentral:rRNA from 1 species
AGUGAACGCUGGCGGUAGGCCUAACACAUGCAAGUCGAACGGCAGCACAGUAAGAGCUUGCUCUUACGGGUGGCGAGUGGCGGACGGGUGAGGAAUACAUCGGAAUCUACUUUUUCGUGGGGGAUAACGUAGGGAAACUUACGCUAAUACCGCAUACGACCUACGGGUGAAAGCAGGGGAUCUUCGGACCUUGCGCGAUUGAAUGAGCCGAUGUCGGAUUAGCUAGUUGGCGGGGUAAAGGCCCACCAAGGCGACGAUCCGUAGCUGGUCUGAGAGGAUGAUCGGCCACCCUGGACCUGCGACUCGGUCCAGCCUCCUCCGGGAGGCAGCUGUGGGGAAUAUUGGACAAUGGGCGCAUGCCUGAUCCAGCCAUCCCGCGUGGGUGAAGAAGGCCUUCGGGUUGUAAAGCCCUUUUGUUGGGAAAGAAAAGCAGCAGGUUAAUACCCCGCUGUUCUGACGGUACCCAAAGAAUAAGCACCGGCUACCUUCGU